GCGUUCGUAGCUCAAUUGGCUAGAGCAUCGCUUUUGUAAAGCGACGGUUGUCGGUUCAAGUCCGACUCUUGGCUCCA
rnacentral:tRNA from 1 species